AGCUCCAUUGGCGUAUAUUAAAGUUGUUGCGGUUAAAAAGCUCGUAGUUGGAUCUGUGUAUCGGACGGUCGGUUCGCCGCCCGCGGUGUUUAACUGACCGGUCCGGACGUCCUGCCGGUGGGACCCGGUUAACGCCGGGGCCCGUAACUCCCUCCGUGCUGCUCUUAACCGAGUGGUACGGUGGGCCGGCACGUUUACUUUGAACAAAUUUGAGUGCUCAAAGCAGGCCUUAUGUUGCCUGAAAAUUGUGUGCAUGGAAUAAUGGAAUAGGACCUCGGUUCUAUUUUGUUGGCUUUUCUGAACUCGAGGUAAUGAUUAAUAGGGACAGACGGGGGCAUUCGUAUUGCGACGUUAGAGGUGAAAUUCUUGGAUCGUCGCAAGACGAACCGAUGCGAAAGCGUUUGCCAAGAAUGUUUUCGCUAAUCAAGAACGAAAGUUAGAGGUUCGAAGGCGAUCAGAUACCGCCCUAGUUCUAACCAUAAACGAUGCCAGCCAGCGAUGCGCCGAAGUUCAUUUUAUGACUCGGCGCGCAGCUUCCGGGAAACCAAAGCUUUUGGGUUCCGGGGGAAGUA
rnacentral:rRNA from 1 species